GACGAACGCUGGCGGCGUGCUUAACACAUGCAAGUCGAACGGAAAGGCCUGCUUUCCCUUGUGGAUUGCGGGUACUCGAGUGGCGAACGGGUGAGUAACACGUGAGUGAUCUGCCCCCAACUUGGGUAUAAGCCUGGGAAACUGGGUCUAAUUCCCGAUAGGACUGCAGGGUGGUGCCUGUGGUGGAAAACGAGUUUCUAGUGGUUGAGGAUGAGCUCGCGGCCUAUCAGCUUGUUGGUGGGGUAAUGGCCUACCAAGGCGGCGCCGGGUAGCCGGCCUGAGAGGGUGGACGGCCACAUUGGGACUGAGAUACGGCCCAGACUCCUACGGGAGGCAGCAGUGGGGAAUAUUGCACAAUGGGCGGAAGCCUGAUGCAGCGACGCCGCGUGGGGGAUGACGGCCUUCGGGUUGUAAACUCCUUUCGACCGCGAGGAAGCCACCUGGUUGGAAGGGUGGUGACGGUAGUGGUAGAAGAAGCACCGGCUAACUACGUG
rnacentral:rRNA from 1 species